rnacentral:lncRNA from 1 species
CCCCUUAAGCACGAACGGAGACCAGCAUACCUGCUUACAUGGUCCGACGUGUCUGAAGUUGAUAGCCAUCUGGGUGGAAAGGCCCGCAAGAGUGGCUGCCGAAGGUGAUACCCACGAAACCGAC